rnacentral:rRNA from 1 species
CCUACGGGAGGCAGCAGUGAGGAAUAUUGGUCAAUGGCCGGAAGGCUGAACCAGCCAUGCCGCGUGAAGGUCAGUGCCCUAUGGGCGUUAAACUUCUUUUGUGUGGGAGCAAUAAUGGUCACGUGUGGCCAGACGAGAGUACCGUACGAAUAAGCAUCGGCUAACUCCGUGCCAGCAGCCGCGGUAAUACGGGGGAUGCAAGCGGUAUCCGGAUUUAUUGGGGUGAAAGGGUGCGUAGGCUGUGAGGUAAGUCAGCGGUGAAAUGCCCUCGCUAAACGGGGGGAAGUGCCAUGGAUACUGCCUUGCUGGAAUGCGGAUGCCGUGGGAGGAAUGUGUGGUGUAGCGGUGAAAUGCAUAGAGAUCACACAGAACACCGAGUGCGAAGGCAUCUCACGAAUCCGCGAUUGACGCUGAUGCACGAAAGCGUGGGUAUCAAACAGGAUUAGAUACCCUAGUAGUC